GAUGAACGCUGGCGGCGUGCCUAAUACAUGCAGGUCGAGCGAACAGACGAGGAGCUUGCUCCUUUGACGUUAGCGGCGGACGGGUGAGUAACACGUGGGUAACCUACCUAUAAGACUGGGAUAACUUCGGGAAACCGGAGCUAAUACCGGAUAAUAUUUCGAACCGCAUGGUUCGAUAGUGAAAGAUGGCUUUGCUAUCACUUAUAGAUGGACCUGCGCCGUAUUAGCUAGUUGGUAAGGUAACGGCUUACCAAGGCAACGAUACGUAGCCGACCUGAGAGGGUGAUCGGCCACACUGGAACUGAGACACGGUCCAGACUCCUACGGGAGGCAGCAGUAGGGAAUCUUCCGCAAUGGGCGAAAGCCUGACGGAGCAACGCCGCGUGAGUGAUGAAGGUCUUCGGAUCGUAAAACUCUGUUAUUAGGGAAGAACAAACGUGUAAGUAACUGUGCACGUCUUGACGGUACCUAAUCAGAAAGCCGCGGCUAACUACGU
rnacentral:rRNA from 1 species